UACGUAGGGUGCGAGCGUUAAUCGGAAUUACUGGGCGUAAAGCGUGCGCAGGCGGUGAUGUAAGACAGGUGUGAAAUCCCCGGGCUUAACCUGGGAACUGCAUUUGUGACUGCAUCGCUGGAGUGCGGCAGAGGGGGAUGGAAUUCCGCGUGUAGCAGUGAAAUGCGUAGAUAUGCGGAGGAACACCGAUGGCGAAGGCAAUCCCCUGGGCCUGCACUGACGCUCAGGCACGAAAGCGUGGGGAGCAAACAGG
rnacentral:rRNA from 1 species